AAGGCUCAAAAAAAGAUAGGGUUAAAGCAA
rnacentral:piRNA from 1 species